UUGGUGUAUUGCACAGUUUUAGAGAUUAGAUUUCACUUCUCACCAAACGACUUCUCCCACCAUCUUUUUGAUGUUACCCAAGCUUUGAACUCAAUCCGAUAUCGAUUGGUCUACGAAAUUGGACAAUUCAAGUUCGUCCGAAGUUCGUUCGGAAAUGGAGUGGUUGGUGUAUUGCAUAGUUCUAGAGAUUGGAUUUCACUCAAAACCUACCAAAUGACUCCACCCACCAUACUAUGUUGUUCC
rnacentral:lncRNA from 1 species